AGGAACAAACCAGGAUUAUGGCCUUUAUAUCGAGUCCCAGACAAAGCAUACAUGAAUAUAACAUAGUAUUUUGAUGAGUGUUUCAAUUUCAUCGAUGGAGCUAAAAGAAUGCAUGGCGGUGCGAUGGUUCAUUGUUUUGCUGGAAUAUCUAGAAGAGUUUGGGGUUAUGCACCAGUUUUCAUGUUUUCUAUCAUUGUGGUGAGAGACUCAUAGGAUCAACAAUGAAGUUGGUAACAAAUUGGAAAUCGUUCAGAACCUUGUACAGUGGUGAACAUCAGCAUUGUAGAUUUUGGCUUUACUAACAUUUUAUCUAGAUUGUGUUUUUGUCAUAAAGAACUUUUUCCAGGUUUUUAGUUGUAAUAACUUUUACUUAUGGCUCCAAUUUUGAGGCGCAAAAGGAAUGCCUGAUUAAACUACGAUGUUAUAUUGUCUGAAUUCUUGUCAUUGAUAUUCCUAGA